AUGCAAUGUAUACUUCCAGCAGGAUGCACAGCCAACAACUAUGGUGUGCAUGCCCUGCCGAAGGACCCGAUCAUGCGGAAUAGAUAAAGUGCAGUUGGGUGCUAGGCUGAUCCCCUGGUCAUGAACGGAUGCCAGGACCUACCAGAAAGGCGCAAAGUCUCCCUGGACUCUUAUGAAAAGGACACGCCAUCAUGAGGCCUCUGAUAGCGACCCGAGUUACUGCCCUGAUGACACAGACGGCGUCACCAAGAACGACAGGUAAUGUGUGUCAUGUAUAAAGUUGUAUUCAAAAAUACCUGGCUGACAAACUAGUAGGCUAAUUCCCUAGCCAAGCAGAUACAUCUAGUAGAGUCAUUUUUGUUGUGAAGUGCAUUAGCAAAAAGCGUUGUCCUUUCUUUAGAACAAAACGCAAUUUACCACUUGUGUAUUAUAACAACCCAUCACCACCUCCUCAUAUAAUCAUUGCAUGCUGCAGUCGUUCUAGAAAUAUCCAGUUUGUAGCCGAACACGCAGCAUACAGAAGACCAGCAAGUGGGCACUCAUCAGCACCCUCA